AUUGAACGCUGGCGGCAUGCUUUACACAUGCAAGUCGAACGGUAACAGGCCGCAAGGUGCUGACGAGUGGCGAACGGGUGAGUAAUGCAUCGGAACGUGCCCAGUCGUGGGGGAUAACGCAGCGAAAGCUGCGCUAAUACCGCAUACGAUCUAUGGAUGAAAGCGGGGGACCGUAAGGCCUCGCGCGAUUGGAGCGGCCGAUGUCAGAUUAGGUAGUUGGUGGGGUAAAGGCUCACCAAGCCAACGAUCUGUAGCUGGUCUGAGAGGACGACCAGCCACACUGGGACUGAGACACGGCGCAGACUCCUUCGGGAGGCAGCAGUGGGGAAUUUUGGACAAUGGGCGCAAGCCUGAUCCAGCAAUGCCGCGUGCAGGAAGAAGGCCUUCGGGUUGUAACUGCUUUUGUACGGAACGAAACGGCUCUGGUUAAUACCUGGGGCUAAUGACGGUACCGUAAGAAUAAGCACCGGCUAACUACGUGCCAGCCGCCGCGGUAACAC
rnacentral:rRNA from 1 species